rnacentral:rRNA from 1 species
GACGAACGCUGGCGGCGUGCUUAACACAUGCAAGUCGAACGGAAAGGCCCUGCUUUUGCGGGGUGCUCGAGUGGCGAACGGGUGAGUAACACGUGAGUAACCUGCCCUUGUCUGUGGGAUAACUUCAGGAAACUGGGGCUAAUACAGGAUAGGAGCUCCUGCUGCAUGGGGGGGGUUGGAAAGUUUCGGCGGUAGGGGCUCGAAUCGCGGCUUAUCAGCUUGUUGGGGGGGUAGUGGCUUACCAAGGCUUUGACGGGUAGCCUGCCUGAGAGGGUUGCCGGCGUCAAGAGUACUGCGGUACGCAGCAGUCGGCAACGGGCGGCAACGGUGGAAAGUCUGACGCAGUGAGCGGAAGCGUGAUACGACGGCCCUGCGUGCGUGAAGCCCGCCUACUGGUGAUAAACCGCUGUCGCCUGAGACGUAGCGGUCGUGACGGUAAUGGGUAAAGAAGCACCGGCUAACUACGUG